AGGAGGACGCCGAAGGUGGGGCUAAUGACUGGGGUGAAGUCGUAACAAGGUAGCCGUACCGGAAGGUGCGGCUGGAUCACCUCCUAACAGGGAGACAACAAAAUGUAAAUAUUAAUUUUGUCACCUUAGGUCGAUCGGUAUCUCAGAUUCUUAAUAUUUUAAGAAUUUCAGUUUCUAAGUUUUUUCUAGGUCACACCCAUCACUUUUUCCUGGGCCAUUAGCUCAGGUGGUUAGAGCGCACCCCUGAUAAGGGUGAGGUCCCUGGUUCAAGUCCAGGAUGGCCCAUAUCUCUAUGUUGGGGGUAUAGCUCAGUUGGUAGAGCGCCUGCUUUGCAAGCAGGAUGUCAGCGGUUCGAGUCCGCUUACCUCCACUGAAUACCACCUCUUGCAUAUUGUUAACGAGGGAAAUUGUUUUGAGUUGUGUCCUAUUCACUCUGAGCGAAUCUAGCUUCCUGUUUUUUUUUAAAUAAGAUGCUGGACUCAUUGAAACUUUUUCAUUGUUUUCAGAGAACCUUGACAACUGCAUAGAUUAUUUUUGAAGACAAUAAGCAUCUUUUGAUGCAGAUUUAUUAUUUUUGCUAAGGCAUUAAAUAACAAUUCUAUUAAGCUGAUGCUUCAAUUUUUGAAGUUAUUGGUCAAGCUACAAAGGGCUCACGGAGGAUA
rnacentral:misc_RNA from 1 species